GGAGUUGUAGCUCAGUGGUAGAGCGCUCACCUAGCACGUUCGAGGUGCUGGGUUUGAUCCUCAGCACCA
rnacentral:tRNA from 1 species